rnacentral:lncRNA from 1 species
AAAUGAAUUAAUUAAAAAAUAAAGUAAAACAGAAUGAAUUAAAUUUAUGAAACUGCUGAAUUCUGAGAAACAGAGUAUCUUUCUGCUGAUUUGUGGGAUUCCAGGAAUACCAGGGGCUUCCAGUGUCAUUCAAGCAGCAUUGACCUGACAUCCAGUCAUGCUGGUCCGGGACCCAGAUAAGAAACACCAGAAGGCAAGACAUUGUAUCAUCUGUCUUCUUCCAGCAUCAGCAACGAGGCGCGUGCAAGUGCUGAUGGAUCAGCAAAUCAUGGACUGGAGACAAGAACUCAGGCCCCACCUCUGGCUUGUCAAUUCCAAGCCCCUCAGAACCUCUGUUGAACGCUGCUGCCAUGGCAACCAUGGGGGAAAACACCUGGCCGAGAGGGAGCCUGCCAAAGCCCACUGCAGCAACAGCAAGGGACGAAGAGGGUAUUUCCGGGACAGUCAGCGAGCAAUUAGAGGCGAAGGAGCCAGAUCUGGGCCCGCCAGCCUCAACAGUCUGGAAGUGUUUGACCCAGAGUUUAAACCGGAGAGGCUGAAAAUAUAAUUAAAAAAAAAAAAUUCAGUAUAAUGGCUUUUGUAAGCGCUAACGCAAAGGACUCUCUGUAAGUUCCUUUCUCGCUCUUUAUUGUGGGGCACGAUGACCAAUAGGAACGUUGGCCUCCGUUCCUGGCCCUUCAUGGGGUUUAUAAUUACAGCAGAUCCGCAGAGAGCUCCCUAACACCCUGGCCCGGCCAGGCGGAGACCAGCUGUUUGCAUACAGACCUCGAAGGGAGUGAUGCCUGCAGACAGUAAAACAUGUUCUCAUAUUAGCGUCUUGCUCAUGAGCACUGGUGCACCGCACUGCUAACAUAAGUCACGGGAGGCGCAGUGGCUUCCCUGGGUGUGUGUUUCUCCUCUCCACUCUGCAACCCCCCCCCCUUUUUUUUUUCGCAUGGAGUUUUAAAUUUCACGUUCUGUGAUCUAACUUCCCAUUUCCCACUCACAAACAAAUGACAUCUGGCCACUCUCAACAAUAAACUUGGAAAGAUGAGACA